GAUGAACGCUGGCGGCGUGCCUAAUACAUGCAAGUCGAGCGAACAGAUGAGGAGCUUGCUCCUCUGACGUUAGCGGCGGACGGGUGAGUAACACGUGGAUAACCUACCUAUAAGACUGGGAUAACUUCGGGAAACCGGAGCUAAUACCAGAUAAUAUAUUGCACCGCAUGGUUCAAUAGUGAAAGACGGUUUUGCUGUCACUUAUAGAUGGAUCCGCGCCGCAUUAGCUAGUUGGUAAGGUAACGGCUUACCAAGGAGACGAUGCGUAGCCGACCUGAGAGGGUGAUCGGCCACACUGGAACUGAGACACGGUCCAGACUCCUACGGGAGGCAGCAGUAGGGAAUCUUCCGCAAUGGGCGAAAGCCUGACGGAGCAACGCCGCGUGAGUGAUGAAGGUCUUCGGAUCGUAAAACUCUGUUAUUAGGGAAGAACAAAUGUGUAAGUAACUAUGCACGUCUUGACGGUACCUAAUCAGAAAGCCACGGCUAACUACGUG
rnacentral:rRNA from 1 species